GAUGAACGCUGGCGGCGUGCCUAACACAUGCAAGUCGAACGGAGAUAUCAGACGAGGCAACUCGAAGGAUAUUUUAGUGGCGGACGGGUGAGUAACGCGUGAGUAACCUACCUAACAGAGGGGGACAACAUUGGGAAACCGAUGCUAAUACCGCAUAAAAUAAGCAAACUGCAUGGUUUGCAUAUCAAAGGAGAAAUCCGCUGAUAGAUGGACUCGCGUCCGAUUAGCCAGUUGGUGGGGUAAAGGCCUACCAAAGCGACGAUCGGUAGCCGGACUGAGAGGUUGAACGGCCACAUUGGGACUGAGAGACGGCCCAG
rnacentral:rRNA from 1 species